rfam:Jatropha curcas cultivar GZQX0401 scaffold797_41, whole genome shotgun sequence.
CCUAUUAGUGAUGAAGAUUUGAUUGUGCACAUCAUUGCUCAAUUGGGAGAUGAAUUUGCCCCAAUUGUUGCUGCUCUUAAAGUGCGUGAAACUUCAAUUUCGUUUUCUGAUUUGUUUGAAAAACUAACUGAUU